AAUAUUCAAAAAUCAAAACCAAGUUCCAAACCUCCUCUCUCUCUCAUUCUCACGGAUUCAUGGCCAUUACAUUCAUGCCUGUGUUCACCUCUCUCUCCCCAAACGAAACAAAUACUUCCUUUUAUUUUCCCCCAACAUCACUUAAAAAGCUCACCUCUAAUCAACACAAAAACCCCCUUUAACAUCCCAACAACAGAUCUAUAUUCUACGGUCAUGCAUCCUAUGAAUCCGAAAACCAAAUAUCGAACACGAAAUCAAACUAUAGAUUUACAGAGCUGCAAGGUUGCGGGAAGAAAAAAGAAGAAUUAUGCAUGCAUUUAGUUGUAUCAAAGCAACUUAAAAUCAGCAAUAGUAGCAAGGGGUUUUACCAGAUCGAGGUAUCUUGGGGAGGAACAAACGGGUCAUAGGUUUGAAGAGACUUUGAUGGAAUGGAAAAGAAAAGUGUUGUAAGACAGUAAGUUGGAGGCGCGCCCAAGUCAAGGAACCCGUUUCCAUUUGCAGCAAACUUCCACUUAGUUAAAAUGUAAUUAUUUAGUUUAAUUUUUUUUAAGGACAAAAUGUGUAUUUGGACUUAUGUAACUUAUUGAAUUAAAAGUCUAAUGGCCAUUGUAAUUUGUUGGAUUUGAAAAGAAUUGAAUUAUUAAAGUGUAUUUGGGCUA